rnacentral:rRNA from 1 species
GACGAACGCUGGCGGCGCGCCUAACACAUGCAAGUCGAACGAGCGAGAGAGAGUUUACUUUUUCGAGCGAGUGGCGAACGGGUGAGUAACGCGUGAGGAACCUGCCUCAAAGAGGGGGACAACAGUUGGAAACGACUGCUAAUACCGCAUAAGCCCACGGUGCCGCAUGGCACAGAGGGAAAAGGAGCAAUCCGCUUUGAGAUGGCCUCGCGUCCGAUUAGCUAGUUGGUGAGGUAAUGGCCCACCAAGGCGACGAUCGGUAGCCGGACUGAGAGGUUGAACGGCCACAUUGGGACUGAGACACGGCCCAGACUCCUACGGGAGGCAGCAGUGGGGAAUAUUGCACAAUGGGGGAAACCCUGAUGCAGCGACGCCGCGUGGAGGAAGAAGGUCUUCGGAUUGUAAACUCCUGUUGUUGAGGAAGAUAAUGACGGUACUCAACAAGGAAGUGACGGCUAACUACGUGCCAGCAGCCGCGGUAAAACGUAGGUCACAAGCGUUGUCCGGAAUUACUGGGUGUAAAGGGAGCGCAGGCGGGAAGACAAGUUGGAAGUGAAAUCCAUGGGCUCAACCCAUGAACUGCUUUCAAAACUGUUUUUCUUGAGUAGUGCAGAGGUAGGCGGAAUUCCCGGUGUAGCGGUGGAAUGCGUAGAUAUCGGGAGGAACACCAGUGGCGAAGGCGGCCUACUGGGCACCAACUGACGCUGAGGCUCGAAAGUGUGGGUAGCAAACAGGAUUAGAUACCCUGGUAGUCCACACUGUAAAC